GCAACUUUAGCUGGUACAGUUAUGGAGGGUGGAGAUAUAGAGAUUUAGAAUUUUUAGUUAUAAUAGUUUUACUAAACUACCACAACAUCUGCAAUUUAAGAUUAAAUCUGACGGAAGACCAGCGCCAAAACUGGAGCUGGCCUGGAGAGGAAAAAGGGGUUUCGGACUUUAAAUGAAGAAAACUAUCCGUACAGAGUGGCUAAUGUUGCUCAGCAACAUUGCUCAAGAAGUUGCCCCGUGUAUCAUCUGUAUAACGCUAGCUAGUAGCGCCAAAUUUCGACUGACACUCUUGUUGCGGAAAACGUAAAAGCCAGUGGGAAGUUCUAUAACCGGGUUAUUGACCACUUCGCCACCAUGAAAGACCGGAGAAUGGCCUUCCUUUUCAAAUAGCAUUCCCUCGCUGGACAAGGAACUUCAAACUCUUUUCCAAAGUCCAAGGACCUUUGGCGCACACACGGAUACACCUGAUGACUCAGCAACAAAAAUUUUAAGUCCACUAUCUGCAUUUUAAGACGCCAGGUCUGCAUUCUUCGCUUGUGGUGUGGCUUCCUUAUAUUCAUCUCUCUCCUGUUCUCCUUCCACUUAUCACUCCCCGCCUAAUUUUCCAGUGUUUCCUCCCUCCUCUACGAUGUCCACCUAUUUCCCUUCUCCCCAACCAAGUAGCAGCCUUCCCACCUGUGGAGCGAUUAAGUGUAAUGACCACGGUGUGUGUGUGGCUCCCCCUGGUGGCGGUGUCGAUUUGGUGUGCGACUGUAAACUGGGCUACCGGGGCGAAUCCUGCGAGGAAACGGUCAAUGGGUCAUUAAGCGUACCGCUGACCUUGAGUGUGCUGGUCGUUGUCAUCGGGCUGGUGAGCCUGGCUUUCAUCUUAGCCAAGAUAAGACGGAAGCGAAAGAAAAAGCACAGGAGACAUCUGGCAGCAAAACAUGGCUACAACGUUGUCGUGUAAUGUGGAUAAAUCUACGAUUAGAUCUGAGGUCAACCACGACAUUCUGGCCCGUGACACACUUGAGCUUCUAUCCGCGAGAGAGAGAGAGAAUUUUGUAAAAAGGGAAUCACAUGGCAGGUUGGCUGCCUCGUGGCAAAGAAUCUACGGCGGAGAUGUUGCAGCAUCCCAGAAACUGAGUGACAGUGAACUGAUGAACGGCGCUUUAACAGGGACACACCAACACUGUAAUGAUAUGCAUCGUAUGUGAUUUGAUGAUGGAAAAAUUACAUUUUUAGUACAUCCCCGAACACAUGAUUCAUCGAGGGCAAAUUUGUUUGUUUGCUUUAAUAUACAUAGCGUUAUUUAUAGAAUUAAGAUGAGUGUGGCUAUCCUGUGCUAAUGACCAACAAACAAAAAAUUCAACCAUCAAUCCCAACAGUAGGUAAAUACAUUUUGGUGUUGUUGGUGCUAUCCACACACUGAAGAUGAUGUUGACAGUGAGAAAUGUCAGGACCGGUCUAUACUGCCAAUCAAAAGCUACUUCCUUGAUCACAUUUCCUGCAUGGAAAAUGUUUCCAUAGAUAAGUCUCCUAACACUGGCUACAUUUAGUGAAAUAAUGCAAAUGUUUUACUAUCAGCUACUCUCUUUGACGGAGCAGUGGCUCCCUUUAAAUACAGAGACAGCACAGGUGACUGCUAUAGUGCUAGUGAGUUGUUCUGCUGUGUUCUUUGUACUUAACACUGAAAGAGUUCAUGCAGUGUUGAAGACCAAAAGCGGAAGAGCAUCAGAUGUUGGCACCGUAGUUCAUUUUAAAUAGAGUAGGCCUGGAAUUCUAACCAGAUUUGAUUUGUCAUUACCUCGUGAUGAGGACAGGAUGCACUCUAACCAGCAUGAUGGGGUUUUAUUCAGUUGCUGUCAUAAAGAUUAAAACAUUUUUGCACUUGGUGCAAUAACAUAAAAGCAUUUCAUAUCCUUUCUCUUUUUUUCUGUCUGAAUAAAAGCAAAAGGGGUAAUUUGUUAUUAAAGGUAAUCUGCAAAUUGAGAUUUGAAAUCUGACUGAAUGGAUCCCCAUGUUUUGGAAAAAAAGCAAUAACAGACUUAAGUCUGCAAAAGCAGUUGUAUAUCCAGAGUCUUUUCUCCACAUUGUGCACUUUGUUUCAUGCAUAUUAUGUCUCUUGUUAUAAAUGAGACCCAGUUCUUUCUGUAAAUAUAGAAAAAGAACACAAAGUUCUUUUUUCCACUGGAGAAAGAACUAUGUCAACCACCCGAAACUUAAAUGUCACACCUUCGCAGAUCCUGUUUUUCUUCAUUUUCUAAAUUCCUCUCCUGUUGUAUAUGUUGGCAAAGUGCAGUUUAAAACAUAAACUGAUUUUAUUGUCUUUUGGUUUGAUUGAUCUAUCUAAAUAGCUUUUGGUUUUAUAUGUAGUUGCUUGUGUUAAAAUGGCUACUGCUGGUUGGUGCUGAAUAUUUACUAGCAACUGCUGCUUUUUACUUAAGAUAAAAUAACAAGUUUUGUUUUUUGCAUUAUGUUGUCAUUUCAACUCUGUACAGGACUAGCUUUGCAAAUGUGGAACAACCUGUCUGGGGAUGUACAGAUUUGUCAGUCGUGUUGUGAGCUAUUUCAUUGGCAUGUGUACUUUUUAAUUACAAAGUCACUGUCUGAAUCAGUCCAGUUAGUGCACACUGUUUAAUGAGUUUAGUUCACUUUUGUAAUUCUACUGUAUAUGAUGUAUAAUGUUCACUAACUUUCAAAUAAAAUGUACAAAAAGCCCAACAA